GAGGAUUGCCAAUAAUUGUCUCUUUGAGGGACGAUUUUCCCCGAUGAGGGCGACUACGGUAUAGAACUUGUCAUACCUCCGCUCUAUCUACUUUGACGUCGGUUAAAACACCCACCAUCCUCCUCGCCUGCCUUUGAUUUGAUUACUGCUAAGCUGAAAUACCCUAUUUCCUGCUCAAAACCUUCACGAAGUUGGACGGACGAGGGAGCGGAUCACCGAGGGGUUCGCGCUCUGCAUCGAUUUACCCUUGCGACAGGCUCGCGCUGGGGUCUAUUAUCUAAUUUGGAAAGCCCGUCAUAAAUGGAGCUACGGUAAACGGCGAGGCGAAUGCGUGCGUCGUGCCCAGUUGACAUUUCCACCUAAUCAAGAUCGUAAAUCCGUACGACGCUGUCACUCGGAAACACUCUCCUCUUUUGAAGGUUUUCAAGAAAAAGAGAGUUGGUUUGUUUUCAUCUUUCAAGAGGGGUUUGGCUUUCGUCUUCAUCACGUGGGAAAUUAAACGGAAUGCAACCGGAGAAGUGCAGGGUGCAGAUUAUCGAC